ACACGCAAGCGUGCGGCUGUGAGUGCUGGGAGGGGUGGCCCAUGGCCCUGGCAGCCCCAGGCCCACACCCUACUGUGUUCUGGGGGAGAUGAGAUGAUUUUCCUGAAAUAUUCUUUCUCUUCCUGGCCCCGUUCUCCAGGUGUGGAAUAUCCUGCUCCAAUCAAAGCCAUGUCACCUGCGUUGUCCAGUGAAACGUCAGCGGACAGGCGCUGCCCGGGCUCCAGGGAGCUCCUCACUGAGGCUCACUCCCUGUGCCUCUGCCAUCAGCACAGGGGGACAUGCCUGGCUGCCUGUGGGACCAGGGAGGACGCGCGGUGCGGGAGCAGAGCCAGCCACACUGCCGCUGCUGCACUGUUCAUCUGAGUGGCGCAAGAACUUGUCAGUGCCUUUAAUCUGAGGGAUGAGUCUUCAGGAGAGUUUGUUGUCAGGAUUUAACACUUACUCUUGGAAAAGCAGUAAUGUGUGCUGGAAAUGAACCGGGCAGACCCUGCUCCCAUCUCCAUCUGCCUCAAUCUCAGUGCCCUCCACUCCCCACCAGCAGCGCCUGUUACCAAGUCACUGCACAACAACCACAAAUGGAGAGUGGAGGAGCAUCACUUUCCACCCCGGGAUCAUGACGAGGGCUCUGUAACUUCAACAAAUGCGCAGAAGACGCCUGGCCUCGAGCUUGUGCAGCACCUCCGGAGCCUGCCUUCCCUUGUCACCCACGGCACCAUGACUUUGGAGGGUCUCAGCUCAGUCCUCCCUCCAGAGGGGCUGUCAGUGCUGGGCAGAAAAUCACCCUUCAACGACCGGGCCCAGCUGCGCUCUGUCAGAGAGCAGAGAAAGCAGGCCUCCGGGAGGUUCUCACUCCACCAAGGAGACGUCUCCACCCAGCGCUCAUCCUGAGCAAGGGCACUGGGAGGAAGAAAUGCAAUUUUAAAACCUGUGCUGCGAAUGAUGACUUCUGCUGCUUCCGUCUCUGGAGAGCUCUGGGCACUUAACAUCCUUCCACCCACAUGCCCGAGUCUGUGCAGAAACCUCACCCACGCGGAGGAGACUGCAUUUCCCAGUAGCAGAUUCAAGUCCUGAACUUCCUGUACCACAAAGUGUUACCCACACUGGUGGGUGCCAGCCUGAGACUCAACUAUCAGGAAAAACAUGAAGAAUUCAGUCCAUGCCCUCAAAUGCACCCAUGUGGCUCCCAAACGGCAAAUCUCAGCAAUGAGAUUCUCAGCUAGGAAAGUCCACACUGAACUCAUGCAGAGGACAAAGUACAUAGGCCUGGGGUUCUUGGCACCUGAGAUCUCUGAGCAGUUUUCUGAAUUUUCCUAUUUCCUGUUGAAGACAUAGGAACACGUGGCACAGAGGCACAGAGACCUGGAAACCAACAGGUGACCUCAGGGAGGUUUGUGAAGCACCCUGAUGAGAAGACAGUUGGGCAGACGUGGCUGGCUAUUCCCCAAGUCCAUUUUCCCUCCUGGGACCAGAGCUGACUCCAUUUCUCAAUCUGCCUUGCAGUGAGCAUAGUCAGCUUCCUGGCACUGCUGGACCUGUCUUGAAGGCUCUUUUGGCCGGAAAUGGAUGGGCAGGGAUCUGAGAGCACCUGCUAUCGGGUGAGUCCUGCUUUACUCAUGUCAGAGAUUUAGACUAAAACAAACACAAAAUGCAACAAAGACCUAAGUGUAAGAGCUAAA
ensembl:lncRNA LINC01257 long intergenic non-protein coding RNA 1257